CUUGUACUCCCUCCGUUUCAAAUUACCCGUCGCAAAAAUGGAUGUAUCUAAAAUUAAAAUACAUCUAAAUACGUUCAUAUCUGCGACAAGUAGUUCGAAACGGAGGGAGUAGUAU
rfam:Triticum aestivum genome assembly, contig: Triticum_aestivum_CS42_TGACv1_scaffold_592267_7BS